CUGUAUAUAUGUCCAAAAUUGAUAUGUAUAUAUGCCAUUCAUGGAAAGACUUAAUAAACCUUUUUUUUCUGUUUCAGUGAAAAGCUAUUGUUUUGUAGAUUGUUCCUAUAAGGAUUUUUAAAUAAAAAAAAAAAAAAGAUUUUUGAGGACAGUCUAUAAUUUUUCCCAAUAUUUCCCCAUUAAUUGCUCUGAUUUUUUUAAAUUAUACAACAACAAAAUAAGUAAAUUUUACUUUACAUAAAGCACUGAUUACUUUAUUUGGGAUUCAUUAAAUCCAUAAGGUCUUGCUCAAUCCCUUUAGUGUUUAGUUCCUCUAAACUAUAGUAUCUAUGUAUAAUCUUUUCUUCAGUGACAACAACCACACGCACACCGUGCUGGUCAUCUCCAAGCUGGCAUCCAAUAGCCGAGGUCACAACCAUGUCCAGAUUUUUGUACAAGCCUCCUGCAUUUCUAUGGUAGUGUCCAGAGAACACAGCUUUAACACCUGCAAGACAUAAAUAACAUAUUAUUAAAACAAAUACAAAGCUUACCUUAAAGUCUUACUCCUACCUCCAUGAUCAUGUCUGUUUUUACAACUGGCCAUGGAGCAAGCAUGAAACGCUGGCUAUACAGAGUAAUCUGCACUUUUGUGCCGGGGGCUAGU